UACGUAGGGUGCAAGCGUUGUCCGGAAUUAUUGGGCGUAAAGAGCUCGUAGGCGGUCUGUCGCGUCGGAUGUGAAAACCCGGGGCUUAACCCCGGGCCUGCAUUCGAUACGGGCAGACUCGAGUGUGGUAGGGGAGACUGGAACUCCUGGUGUAGCGGUGAAAUGCGCAGAUAUCAGGAAGAACACCGGUGGCGAAGGCGGGUCUCUGGGCCACUACUGACGCUGGAGGAGCGAAAGCGUGGGGAGCGAACAGG
rnacentral:rRNA from 1 species